CUCUGCUAAGCAGUCAGGAAACAUGAAGAUCCCAGAGUUUGCUAGCAGAACUGGAGUUUCUGCUGUGAGAGGAUACAGACGGUCGCACACCUGAAAAACAAAGGCACAGGAAAUAUAUAUGCAAGGAAUGGAGGAGCAUCAAUCAAAAUAGCGAAAUUGAAUUCAGACAAAAGCUCUACAAUAUAGUGAAACUCUAAAACCAUGACAAACGUCAUCACCCAACAAACAACUACCUUUGUUUGCAUGUUUCACUUGGAUUUUACAGAAGGACUCACAGAUCUACAUUCCUACCUUCCCCUAUGGUCAUGAGUUUUGGGUCAUGAGCGAAAGACUGAGAUCCCGGAUACAAGCGGCCUUGGAGAUAGGGUGAGGAGCUCAUUCCUGCGGAGAGCCGCAGAGAGUCGCUGCUCCUUGUGAGGUGCGCACACCUGCCUUGUGAGGUGUUCCAGGCAUGUACAAUUGGGAGUAGACUCAGAGGGAGACCCAGGACACGCUGGAGGGAAUAUGUUUCGCCCGGGAAUGCUUUGAGAUUCCCCCGGAGGAGCUGGCCCAAGUCGCUGGGGGGAGGAACGUCUGGGCCUCUCUACUGAAGCUGCUAGCCCUACAACCCAACCCCGGAUAAGAAGAAGAGGAUGGAUGGAUGG